CAGUAGGGUGCCAUCAAGAGGUGUAU
rnacentral:rRNA from 1 species